UCGGGUUGUAAAGCACUUUUGUCCGGAAGAAAACCUCGUGGUUAAUACCCGUGGGGGAUGACGGUACCGGAAGAAUAAGCACCGGCAACUACGUGCCAGCAGCCGCGGUAAUACGUAGGGUGCAAGCGUUAAUCGGAAUUACUGGGCGUAAAGCGUGCGCAGGCGGUUCGCUAAGACAGAUGUGAAAUCCCCGGGCUUAACCUGGGAACUGCAUUUGUGACUGGCGGGCUAGAGUAUGGCAGAGGGGGGUAGAAUUCCACGUGUAGCAGUGAAAUGCGUAGAGAUGUGGAGGAAUACCGAUGGCGAAGGCAGCCCCCUGGGCCAAUACUGACGCUCAUGCACGAAAGCGUGGGGAGCAAACAGGAUUAGAUACCCUGGUAGUCCACGCCCUAAACGAUGUCAACUAGUUGUUGGGGAUUCAUUUCCUUAGUAACGUAGCUAACGCGUGAAGUUGACCGCCUGGGGAGUACGGUCGCAAGAUUAAAACUCAAAGGAAUUGACGGGGACCCGCACAAGCGGUGGAUGAUGUGGAUUAAUUCGAUGCAACGCGAAAAACCUUACCUACCCUUGACAUGUAUGGAACCUGGCUG
rnacentral:rRNA from 1 species